AUUAAAAACACCAAUAUUCUGGCUCCUAGUUAGCUCCUCCAAUGCCAAAACCAUUCCUCCUUAUCAGAAAAGUCACAUAACCAGAUGGGUUGGUUAUGCUCGUGUUUAACACUGUAUAGCUGCUUGAAGGAGAGGAAGUGGGGGCAGCUCCAAAGGCAUCUGUCUUUUGCUUGUCAGUGUGGGUAAAGAGUAAAAUUCUUCUGCAUCAUUUUCCAGUACAGAGGAAGAGUUAGUUCUUAGUAGAGAAGUAUGGGUUGUGACUGUAAUCUCUGAACAUUCACAGGGCUCUGCAGAGCCAACUUCUUCAGAAACGUUCUUCUCAGUUUCUUGGACACAUAUUUAGAUCUUAGGUUUUCUCAAGCAAGGCUCCUGUUUUUUCAUAACACACAUGCCUUGAAUAAGCAUUUAGACGUCUCUGGAGUUCUGCAAGUUUGUCAGAUCUCUGGUGUACUGUUUGGCUAUUUAUGUUUUUCUGCUGCAGGAAAUAAAGGACUUGCUAUCAAAGAGACAUUCUACUUUCACACUUACUCUUUAGCUUUAAAUUAUCCUUCUCCGUAUGAUUAACAUAACCUAGCAAUAAAGAGCCAACUCUGUUUUCUUCGUAGUCUUUAUUAACUUCAUAUCUUUCAAAUAUACAGAAAAUAUGAACUACAAGGAAAUCAACCUAGGAUAUCUUCACAGUUCAGCACUGGUGAAAUCACCAGGAACUGGAUUGCCACCUUUUCUCAGGCACUAUUUGUGUCUCACAUACCAUACAGAAAAGCAUUCUCCUUGGCUAUCAGAUGUUGAAGCCUGAACUGAAUUAUGAUGGCAUUUGGAGGUGAGACCUUUGAGAAGCAAUUAAGUGGAGCCCUACUAAAUGGCAUUGGUCCUUUUACAGAAAGAGUCCAGAGAACCAGCUCAUUCUUUUCACAAUGUCAAGUGGUAGUUACAAUCAUCAUGGAGACCACAGUUGAUGGGAAAGAUGGAGAAAAUGAAUCACACCUUAAAGAAGAUGAUGACAAAACUCUUUCAGGGCCCCAUAGCUCACAGAAGAGCCUCUUCACACUUUCUGCCCAGGAAAUACCUUGCUACUAA
rnacentral:lncRNA from 1 species